UUUCUGUUCUCUUGGAGUAGGAUCACUCUCUGAAAGGGUGUCCACAGGAACAGAGACACCUGAACCGACAGUGGGAACGUCCACACGACCACUGUAGUCAGAAGAAAACCACUUCACCACUUUCUUCAAGGUGUCUAUUGGUGAAAGAAGACAGUGUGCAGCCUUGUGGAAAAAUUCAAAAACAGCCUCUAUGGUGAUCUCAAUUGCUAGAUGGAGAUCCUCGACAACGCCACGUCUUCUGUCAGUGGUAGACUGGAUAACUUGGUCCCUAAGUGUCUGUAAUCUCUUCCUAGCUUGUACAUGGGAAGACUGAAAAUUCUCAGAUGUCCGAGAGGCUCUACGGCCCCUACUCAAAGCAUAUAUAAACAAAGGUAGGCCCAACAUAAAUUUAAUAGGGAAUAGGAGCCAUGAGAUGAUGUAUCUGAACCAAUGUAUCCAAUGCCUGUUCCGCCUUGAAAGACUGCGGGCUCUAGAAACCCGAGAACUUUGUGACAGUGGAGAUGGAGGACAACUGGUUUCAUCAGUAUAUUGUUCUUCUUCUUCUGAUGAAUAAUCUACACUUGAGGAGGAGGAAUCAGAAUCAAAAGAAUGUUCAUGGAUGAACUGGUUAAAAGAUGAGGCGCCAUUCUCCAUCCACUGUGGAAGCCGAGGUCCACGAAAGGUUGGACGAAGUUCCCAGCCAUGUAUGCCUUCAAGAAUAGUAGAUUUCCCCGGCAAUAGUGUCAAUAAUAGUGCUGACACUCCAUUAAUCAAUCUCACAACAUUAUUCAGCGACUCAUAGGUCAAUGUCUUAACUGACCUGA
rnacentral:misc_RNA from 1 species